AUUGAACGCUGGCGGCAGGCCUAACACAUGCAAGUCGAGCGGAUGAAGGGAGCUUGCUCCUGGAUUCAGCGGCGGACGGGUGAGUAAUGCCUAGGAAUCUGCCUGUUAGUGGGGGAUAACGUCCGGAAACGGGCGCUAAUACCGCAUACGUCCUGAGUGAGAAAGUGGGGGAUCUUCGGACCUCACGCUAUCAGAUGAGCCUAGGUCGGAUUAGCUAGUUGGUGGGGUAAAGGCCUACCAAGGCGACGAUCCGUAACUGGUCUGAGAGGAUGAUCAGUCACACGGGAAGUGAGACGCGGACCAGACGCCUACGGGAGGCAGCAGUGGGGAAGAUUGGACAAUGGGGGAAAGCCUGACCCAGCCAUGCAGCGUGUGUGAAGAAGGUCUUCGGAUUGUAAAGCACUUUUAGUUGGGAGGAAGGGCAGUAAGAUAAAACCUGGCUGUUUUGACGUUACCAACAGAAUAAGCACCGGCUAACUUCGUG
rnacentral:rRNA from 1 species